rnacentral:rRNA from 1 species
UACAGGGAGGGUGCGAGCGUUAAUCGGAAUACUGGGCGUAAAGCGUGCGUAGACGGUUAUUAAGUCGAUGUGAAAGCCCCGGGCUCAACCUGGGAAUUGCAUUCGAGACUGCAUUGCUAGAGUAUGGGAGAGGGAAGCGGAAUUUCUGGUGUAGCAGUGAAAUGCGUAGAUAUCAGAAGGAACAUCAGUGGCGAAGGCGGCUCCUGGACCAAUACUGACGAUCAGGUGCGAAAGCGUGGGAGCAAACAGG